rnacentral:lncRNA from 1 species
AGGGGUGAGCAUGGUCCGGGUUGGUCCGGGCCACCCCUAACCCUAGGACCAACCCGUACAGUGUCGGUCCUCAAUUUUUAGAACCAAGGACCGACCCUAUUAAGCCUGGGACCAAGGACCGGACCGACCCAAUGGGUUCGGUCCGGUUCCAAGGUCAACCCGGGACCGAUCGAUAAUUUUUUUCGUCUUAUUUUUUAUACUUCCUAAAAAAGCAAACCUACAAAUUCAAAUUACGCAUCCAUGAUCCAUCAACAAUACGAUAUUGUGCAACUAAAUUAUAAAAUACCAAUACAUAUUUAGCAAAUUUAAG